rnacentral:rRNA from 1 species
UACGAAGGGGGCUAGCGUUGCUCGGAAUUACUGGGCGUAAAGCGCACGUAGGCGGAUUUUUAAGUCAGGGGUGAAAUCCCGAGGCUCAACCUCGGAACUGCCUUUGAUACUGGAGAUCUUGAGUCCGGAAGAGGUAAGUGGAACUGCGAGUGUAGAGGUGAAAUUCGUAGAUAUUCGCAAGAACACCAGUGGCGAAGGCGGCUUACUGGUCCGGAACUGACGCUGAGGUGCGAAAGCGUGGGGAGCAAACAGG